rnacentral:rRNA from 1 species
UAAAGAUUCAUCGCUGAUAGAUAGGCAUGCGUUCCAUUAGGCAGUUGGCGGGGUAACGGCCCACCAAACCGACGAUGGAUAGGGGUUCUGAGAGGAAGGUCCCCCACAUUGGUACUGAGACACGGACCAAACUCCUACGGGAGGCAGCAGUGAGGAAUAUUGGUCAAUGGGCGUAAGCCUGAACCAGCCAAGUCGCGUGAGGGAUGAAGGUUCUAUGGAUCGUAAACCUCUUUUAUAAGGGAAUAAAGUGCGGGACGUGUCCCGUUUUGUAUGUACCUUAUGAAUAAGGAUCGGCUAACUCCGUGCCAGCAGCCGCGGUAAUACGGAGGAUCCGAGCGCUAUCCGGAUUUAUUGGGUUUAAAGGGUGCGUAGGCGGCCUUUUAAGUCAGCGGUGAAAGUCUGUGGCUCAACCAUAGAAUUGCCGUUGAAACUGGGAGGCUUGAGUAUGUUUGAGGCAGGCGGAAUGCGUGGUGUAGCGGUGAAAUGCUUAGAUAUCACGCAGAACCCCGAUUGCGAAGGCAGCCUGCCAAGCCAUGACUGACGCUGAUGCACGAAAGCGUGGGGAUCAAACAGGAUUAGAUACCCUGGUAGUCCACGCAGUAAACGAUGAUCACUAGCUGUUUGCGAUACACAGUAA